rnacentral:rRNA from 1 species
UAUCCGCGCUGGACCGUGUACAAGUCUCCUGGAAUGGAGCGUCAUAGAGGGUGAGAAUCCCGUCUUUGACACGGACUGCCAGGGCUUUGUGAUGUGCUCUCGAAGAGUCGAGUUGUUUGGGAAUGCAGCUCAAAAUGGGUGGUAAAUUCCAUCUAAAGCUAAAUAUUGGCGAGAGACCGAUAGCGAACAAGUACCGUGAGGGAAAGAUGAAAAGAACUUUGGAAAGAGAGUUAAACAGUACGUGAAAUUGCUGAAAGGGAAACGCUUGAAGUCAGUCGCGUUGGCCAGGGAUCAACCUUGCUUUUUUGCUUGGCUUACUUUCUGGUCGAUGGGUCAGCAUCAAUUUUGACUGGUAGAAAAAGUUCAAGGGAAUGUGGCAUCUUCGGAUGUGUUAUAGCCCUUGUUCACAUAUAUCAGUUGGAAUUGAGGAACUCAGCACGCCGCAAGGCCGGGUUUUUAACCACGUACGUGCUUAGGAUGCUGGCAUAAUGGCUUUAAUCGACCCGUCUUGAAACACGGACCAAGGAGUCUAACAUGCCUGCGAGUGUUUGGGUGAAAAACCCGAGCGCAUAAUGAAAGUGAAAGUUGAGAUCCCUGUCAUGGGGAGCAUUGACGCCCGGAUCUGACCUUUUGUGACGAUUCUGCGGUAGAGCAUGUAUGUUGGGACCCGAAAGAUGGUGAACUAUGCCUGAAUAGGGUGAAGCCAGAGGAAACUCUGGUGGAGGCUCGUAGCGAUUCUGACGUGCAAAUCGAUCGUCAAAUUUGGGUAUAGGGGCGAAAGACUAAUCGAACCAUCUAGUAGCUGGUC